UCUCUUAGACCCUAUUUAAGGGCUGACUGCCACUGAGGAAGGAUCUCUCACUGGAGAUCACUCCUCUUGGAGUCUUUUUUCUGUGAGCCCAGGACACAGGUAAGCCUUCCAUUCAUUUCUGAUUAUCUCUCUAACACAAUCUUUCCAACCUAACUUCUUUUCUGUACUUACUGAUUAUACAUCUGUAUACUCAUAGAUUAUACACUCUAGAACUGGGAAGUUCUCUUUUGUUUUCCAUUUGCUAAUGAAUGCUGAUCCUGUUGCUGAGCCUUGCAUGUUCCCUUCUCACCUCGCUCCUUUCCCUGGGAUUCCUGGGGUAUCAUUAAUGUUAUUGUUUUGGACAGGUAUAUUAAGACUAAUAUUUGUAUUUGCUUAUGCUGACCCUAUCACAUUCCAUAGCUGGUCAUGGUCCCAUGCCCAUAUUGGGCAUGCUGGAUGUAUGGGACUGAAUUCUAAUUUCUAACAGAGGCUUAACCCUUUCCACCAUGGUUAAGCACAGUCCUGAAAUAUAUUCAGGAAGUGAAUGUUGCCAGGAUAGUACUGGCAACUCUGGGGAGAUGUAGGACAAAGAAUAAAGGUAGGGUGUCAAAUGAGUGAUCUAUGUGCAUUGCAACAAUGCUGCAGUUUUCCCUAUCAGCAUUGGAACCAAUCAGGAGUUCUUACCUAAUGUAUUAUCUCAGUGGGAAAGAACAGUAUAAAAGACCACCAGUUAAUUGUGGAUGCACUUGUCAAAUUCAAUGUCUUCCUAGCUCUUCUUCAUGGAAGGUAAAGGAAAUGCUUUACCCACCGAAAUUUGAAAGGUGAGUUUAGACAAUGCAAACAAAUCUGAAAGAAUUUCAGUCUUGGUGGCAUCUAGCUAAUUUUACUUAUGAUCCUGUUAAUAACAUUGCUGCAACUUUUGUCCUAACAAUAAGCAAUGCUUUGGUACAUACCAUAUACCCAAUCAUUGCGCAGGUACUGAAUCACAAUGGGGUUAUGCCCUACUCAUUAGAACACAGAGUAUGGGCCCAAUAAAAUGAAAACAAAUAGCAAACUGUUGAUGUUUGUUCAUGUGCUGUAUGGGAACAAGAAGGAUUUAUUUUGAGACCAAUACUAUCAAGACUUUGAGACAUUUUGCUCAGGGUCAAGACAAAUACCUCUCACUUUAGAGGUAUCCUAAUGAGGCCCUUGAAAUAGUACUCAUCUAUAUUGGAAAAGUGUGUGUGUAUGAGUACCUCUUACAAUUUUACACUCAUAGUUAUUACUGUAGAUACAAGUGAUCAUUCAAAUGUUUGUAACUUUACUAAUAUCAUGGGAUGUGACUCUAGUUAUUCAGUUCCGGUUAUGUCCUAUUAGUUGCUAUGGUCCACUUCUUUAUGGCCUAAUCUGAUAUUUGCCACUUGCCCUAACUGAAAUGAAUCUUGCUUUGGUAAAGAAAUUAUUGCAGUGUGACAAUCUGCACCAGCUGCUAGACUGCAUCCAAGAUAACAGACAAACCUUAGAUUACCAUUCUCCAUGAUAUGGAGGAGAUGCACCAUGUUCUGGAAAGGAUGAAGGAGGAUGGAGAACACCACUGAUGGGAAAUGCUCCUUGGAUGGUCACCAACAGCAAGAGGAGUCUUUAAUUCUGUACUUCAUCCAGCCAUGGGACAGUGACAACAAGCUUUGUGCCACUGGGUGGUGUGAGAAGAGGGAGAAAUGCUUGUUCAGAGGCAGCCAUAUGAUGCAUGAGAAGCUGGAGAAUGCUUGGCUCAAAGUCACCCAAGGCAUGACCUACCCACAAGUUUUUAAAGUAAAUGGUUGACUACCAUGAGCACAGAGGACACGAUGCCCCUGAUAACUGGAGUAGGCAGGCCUGAAGAGUUCUGAGGAAGAAUGUGUACCCUAUUUGCCAGAAUACAGCUGUGGAAGGUGCCUGCAGACUGGAGGACAGCUGAUAUCACUGCAGCCUUCAGAAGGGGUGAGAAGCAUGGCCUCACCUGUGUUUCUGGAAAGGUGAUGUAACAACUUCUACCAGGUGUCAUCUCCAAGUGACUGGAAGAGAAAUUUCUAUGGAGCAGACAAGGGUGAGGAUCCCAGUGGUGUCUCUGGAGCAAGGCCUGAAGGAAUGGAGUGAAGUGAGAGCAGCUCUUCUGUGCUGGAGUUUGGGGUUCUGAUCUGGUGAAGGAGCAGAGCUGGAUUUCUGCAUGGUGGCCUUUCUCGAAUGUGGUAGAGCUUCCCCAGCUUGAAGAUAGGUGUGCUAUCCUGAGAGAGGAGUGGCACUGGCUGUCUUGCAACACACUUCUGGCUUCCUUUUCUGAGAUGGGGCUGCUGAGAACUGUAUCUGGUUUCUCACUUGAUAACUCAGGAGUGUGUGUCUUGGUGAAACCCUUUAUUUUGAAUCUCAGUGAGGGAGUUCCUGGGAACUUUCCUCCCAAACUGAGACCUAACUCUAACAAAAAUGACUAAUAUGUUGUACUCUGCGUUUGUUCCUUAACAAAAGACAAGGAACUUCAUUGGGGUGGUGCCUUUGCAUUAGAUGUUUGUGUGCAGUAUAUUGUUUCUUAAUGUGAGAGUUUGAAGUUACCAAUAACUCUUGGAUCAUUAACUAAUCAAAAGCAGUUCUGCUGUGAUUGAAGUACAAUAGCAGCUAAUGCAGGAUAGAAAAUGGAGCUAAUUUACUUAGAUUGAUACUGCUCUUGUCAUGACUUGACUUCAAUAGCAUCUCAGUGAGUUAUUAGUUUGACUAAUUAGUGCAAGCAUGUCUGCAAGUGAUUAACCUGUUGCUCCUGCUGAUAACAGGGCAUUGCUUUUUUUCCAGAGGGAUGUAUAUUACUGAGAUGAGAGGUAAGCUUAAAUGCACAAGCUCAGUGAAAUGUCUGUCCUACACAGAGUAGGAAGGCAGUCUGGGUUGGAAAAGACCUACAUUACCUAAGACCUACAUUACCUCUGCCUGAGACCACCUGAACUUCAAGUGCUAUCUCCAGGAGCAGUGUCCAAGUGCUUCUCCAACUUGAUUAGUUGGGGCCUGUGUCUGCUGCCCUGAGGAGCCUGUUCUGGUACCUAACCACCCUCUGGUGAAGGAAUGUAUCUAUCUCCACCAUCUCCAGUGUGGCUUAAUACAUAUCUAUGUUCCUUGCCCUGGUCAGUUGCAGAAACACUGAAGAGAACUUGCCCUGAUCUGAAGCCCUGUGGACACUGGUGCUGGUCUGUUUGCGUCUAUGCUCUCAUUUAUUCUAACAAGCACUUUGAGCCUAUUUUGUAUGGGGCUGAGUCAUUGCCCAGCUAAAGAGUAAAGAUUUUUUUCUCUCACCCAGAGUUGGAUAUUUAACUGCUACAAUCCCAGUCAUCUCAUUAUUCAUAUAACAGUAUGUGUUUUCUACUCUAACAGCCAGAAUGGCUGAGCAGUAAGUACCACUUGCAGCAUAAAGCUUCAAACAGCCAAAAACCCCUUCCAUUGAUUCAUAAUGUAUUUCUUUGGGGUGCAUGUUCAGAAGAGAGCUUGCAACAUGCAAAACAGUCUUCAUAAUGUAUCUUUCCUUAAAAACAACAAUAAAAGGGAGUUUAUAAGGUCUCUUUAACUGGAGGC